rnacentral:rRNA from 1 species
CAUGCAAGUCGAACGCGUCUUGGGGGGCAACUCCUGAGAUGAGUGGCGAACGGGUGAGUAACACGUGAGUAAUCUACCCUCGAGUGAGGAAUAACCCCGCGAAAGCGGAGCUAAUACCGCAUAAUACUCUGGAGCGUAAGCUCUCAGAGUCAAAGCUUUCCGAGCAAUCGGGCAGCGCUUGAGGAUGAGCUUGCGGCCUAUUAGCUUGUUGGUGAGGUAACGGCUCACCAAGGCAAAGAUGGGUAGCCGGCUUGAGAGGGUGUACGGCCUCACUGGGACUGAGAUACGGCCCAGACUCCUACGGGAGGCAGCAGUGGGGAAUCUUGCGCAAUGGGCGAAAGCCUGACGCAGCGACGCCGCGUGGAGGAUGAAAGCCUUCGGGUUGUAAACUCCUGUCAGAGGAGAAGAAUCUCCGAGCAAUCGGAGUUGACGG